AAUAGAUACCCAGGUAGUCCACGCCGUAAACGAUGUGCACUAGAUCCUGGAGGUUUUGACGCCAUCAGGGUUGUAGCAAAAGUCUUAAGUGCACCGCCUGGGGAGUACGGUCGCAAGGCUAAAACUCAAAGGAAUUGAUGGGGGCUCACACAAGCGGUGGAGCAUGUGGCUUAAUUCGAAGCAACGCGAAGAACCUUAUCCAGGGUUUGACAUGUAUGGAUGCCCUUCUUGAAAGAGGAGUAAGCUGCUCUUUGAGUGGAACAUACACAGGUGCUGCAUGGCUGUCGUCAGCUCGUGCUGUGAAGUGUCGCGUUAAGUCGCUUAACGAGCGAAACCCCUGCCGUUAGUUGCCACCAGGUUAUGCUGAGCACUCUAGCGGGACUGCCGGUGUCAAACCGGAGGAAGGUGGGGAUGACGUCAAGUCCUCAUGGCCUUUAUGCCCUGGGCUGCACACGUGCUACAAUGGCGCGUACAGAGCGAAGCGAUACCGCAAGGUGGAGC
rnacentral:rRNA from 1 species